rnacentral:rRNA from 1 species
AUUGAACGCUGGCGGCAGGCCUAACACAUGCAAGUCGAACGGUAGCACAGAGAGCUUGCUCUCGGGUGACGAGUGGCGGACGGGUGAGUAACGUCUGGGAAACUGCCCGAUGGAGGGGGAUAACUACUGGAAACGGUAGCUAAUACCGCAUAACGUCGCAAGACCAAAGUGGGGGACCUUCGGGCCUCACACCAUCGGAUGUGCCCAGAUGGGAUUAGCUAGUAGGUGGGGUAAUGGCUCACCUAGGCGACGAUCCCUAGCUGGUCUGAGAGGAUGACCAGCCACACUGGAACUGAGACACGGUCCAGACUCCUACGGGAGGCAGCAGUGGGGAAUAUUGCACAAUGGGCGCAAGCCUGAUGCAGCCAUGCCGCGUGUAUGAAGAAGGCCUUCGGGUUGUAAAGUACUUUCAGCGGGGAGGAAGGCGGUGAAGUUAAUAACUUCACCGAUUGACGUUACCCGCAGAAGAAGCACCGGCUAACUCCGUGCCAGCAGCCGCCGCGG